GUAGGGAAUCUUCGGCAAUGGACGAAAGUCUGACCGAGCAACGCCGCGUGAGUGAAGAAGGUUUUCGGAUCGUAAAACUCUGUUGUUAGAGAAGAAUGUUGAUUAGAGUGGAAAAUUAAUCAAGUGACGGUAUCUAACCAGAAAGGGACGGCUAACUACGUGCCAGCAGCCGCGGUAAUACGUAGGUCCCGAGCGUUGUCCGGAUUUAUUGGGCGUAAAGCGAGCGCAGGUGGUUUAAUAAGUCUGAUGUAAAAGGCAGUGGCUCAACCAUUGUGUGCAUUGGAAACUGUUAGACUUGAGUGCAGUAGAGGAGAGUGGAAUUCCAUGUGUAGCGGUGAAAUGCGUAGAUAUAUGGAGGAACACCGGUGGCGAAAGCGGCUCUCUGGACUGUCACUGACACUGAGGCUCGAAAGCGUGGGUAGCAAACAGGAUUAGAUACCCUGGUAGUCC
rnacentral:rRNA from 1 species